AUUGAACGCUGGCGGCAUGCUUUACACAUGCAAGUCGAACGGUAACAGGCCGCAAGGUGCUGACGAGUGGCGAACGGGUGAGUAAUGCAUCGGAACGUGCCCAGUCGUGGGGGAUAACUACUCGAAAGAGUAGCUAAUACCGCAUACGCUCUAUGGAUGAAAGCGGGGGACCGUAAGGCCUCGCGCGAUUGGAGCGGCCGAUGUCAGAUUAGGUAGUUGGUGGGGUCAAGGCUCACCAAGCCAACGAUCUGUAGCUGGUCUGAGAGGACAACCAGCCAGACUGGGACUGAGACACGGCCCAGACUCCUACGGGAGGCAGCAGUGGGGAAUUUUGGACGAUGGGCGCAAGCCUGAUCCAGCAAUGCCGCGUGCAGGAAGAAGGCCUUCGGAUUGUAAACUGCUUUUAUACGGAACGAGAUGGCUCUGGUUAAUACCCGGGGCUAAUGACGGUACCGGAAGAAUAAGCACCGGCUAACUACGUG
rnacentral:rRNA from 1 species